AUUGAACGCUGGCGGCAUGCCUUACACAUGCAAGUCGAACGGCAGCACGGGUGCUUGCACCUGGUGGCGAGUGGCGAACGGGUGAGUAAUACAUCGGAACAUGUCCUGUAGUGGGGGAUAGCCCGGCGAAAGCCGGAUUAAUACCGCAUACGAUCUACGGAUGAAAGCGGGGGACCUUCGGGCCUCGCGCUAUAGGGUUGGCCGAUGGCUGAUUAGCUAGUUGGUGGGGUAAAGGCCUACCAAGGCGACGAUCAGUAGCUGGUCUGAGGGGACGACCAGCCACACUGGGACUGAGACACGGCCCAGACUCCUACGGGAGGCAGCAGUGGGGAAUUUUGGACAAUGGGCGAAAGCCUGAUCCAGCAAUGCCGCGUGUGUGAAGAAGGCCUUCGGGUCGUAAAGCACUUUUGUCCGGAAAGAAAUCCUUGGCCCUAAUACGGUCGGGGGAUGACGGUACCGGAAGAAUAAGCACCGGCUAACUACGUG
rnacentral:rRNA from 1 species